AGCGAACGCUGGCGGCAGGCCUAACACAUGCAAGUCGAACGAACACUUCGGAGUCUGGGGCGGACGGGGGUGGAAGACGUGGGAACGUGCCCUUGGGUUCGGCAUAACUCAGGGAAACGUGUGCUAAUAGCGAAUGUGACCUUCGGGGGGAAGAUUUAUUGCCAUUGGAGCGGCGCUCGUCUGAUUAGCUGGUGAGGUAGGUUACGGCUCAACAAGGCGACGAUCAGUAGCUGGUCUGAGAGGAUGAUCAGCCACACUGAGACUGAGACACGGCCCAGAAUCCUACGCGAUGGAGCAGUGGGUGAUGUAGCACAAUCGGCGAAAGGAUGACGGAGCCAUGACGCGUGAAUGAUGAAAGUCGUAGGAAAGUAAAAUUCUUUCACCGAGGACGAUAAUGACGGUACCCGGAGAAGAAGCCACGGCUAACUUCGUG
rnacentral:rRNA from 1 species